AACACAGGUGCUGCAUGGCUGUCGUCAGCUCGUGUCGUGAGAUGUUGGGUUAAGUCCCGCAACGAGCGCAACCCUUGUCACUAGUUGCCAUCAUUUGGUUGGGCACUCUAAUGAGACUGCCGGUGACAAACCGGAGGAAGGUGGGGAUGACGUCAAGUCCUCAUGGCCCUUAUGGGUAGGGCUUCACACGUCAUACAAUGGUCGGUACAGAGGGUUGCCAACCCGCGAGGGGGAGCUAAUCCCACAAAGCCGAUCGUAGUCCGGAUCGCAGUCUGCAACUCGACUGCGUGAAGUCGGAAUCGCUAGUAAUCGUGGAUCAGCAUGUCACGGUGAAUACGUUCCCGGGUCUU
rnacentral:rRNA from 1 species